ensembl:snRNA U6 U6 spliceosomal RNA
GUGCUCGCUUCGGCAGCAUAUGUACGAAAGCUGGAAUGAUACAGAGAAGAUUAGCGUGGCCACUGCACAAGGAUGACACGCAAAUUUGUGAAGCGUUCCAUAUUUUU